GAAUAUUGGACAAUGGGGGGAACCCUGAUCCAGCCAUGCCGCGUGUGUGAAGAAGGCCUUUUGGUUGUAAAGCACUUUAAGCGAGGAGGAGGCUCCUCUAGGUAAUACCUAGAGAUAGUGGCCGUUACUCGCAGAAUAAGCCCCGGGUAACUCUGUGCCAUCAGCCGCGGUAAUACAGAGGUGGCAAGCGUUAAUCGGAUUUACUGGGCGUCAAGCGCGCGUAGGUGGCCAAUUAAGUCAAAGGUGAAAUCCCCGAGCUUAACUUGGGAAUUGCAUUCGAUACUGGUUGGCUAGAGUAUGGGAGAGGAUGGUAGAAUUCCAGGUGUAGCGGUGAAAUGCGUAGAGAUCUGGAGGAAUACCGAUGGCGAAGGCAGCCAUCUGGCCUAAUACUGACACUGAGGUGCGAAAGCAUGGGGAGCAAACAG
rnacentral:rRNA from 1 species